AGUCGAAACGAGCUCUCCCAAAUUGAUUUUAUGCUUGCAUAAAUGAUUUUUGGAUUCGGAGCGAGUGGCGAACUGGUGAGUAACACGUGGGUAACCUGCCCCGAAGCGGGGGAUAACAUUUGGAAACAAGUGCUAAUACCGCAUAAUUAGUUGGAACCGCAUGGUUCCAACUUGAAAGAUGGCUCUGCUAUCACUUUGGGAUGGACCCGCGCCGUAUUAGUUAGUUGGUGAGAUAAAAGCCCACCAAGACGAUGAUACGUAGCCGACCUGAGAGGGUAAUCGGCCACAUUGGGACUGAGACACGGCCCAGACUCCUACGGGAGGCAGCAGUAGGGAAUCUUCCACAAUGGACGAAAGUCUGAUGGAGCAACGCCGCGUGAGUGAUGAAGGUUUUCGGAUCGUAAAACUCUGUUGUUAAAGAAGAACAAGUGUUAGAGUAACUGUUAACACUUUGACGGUAUUUAACCAGAAAGCCACGGCUAACUACGUGCCAGCAGCCGCGGUAAUACGUAGGUGGCAAGCGUUGUCCGGAUUUAUUGGGCGUAAAGCGAGCGCAGGCGGUUUUGUAAGUUCUGCUGUGAAAGCCCUCAGCUCAACUGAGGAAGUGCAGUGGAAACUACAAAACUUGAGUACAGAAGAGGAAAGUGGAACUCCAUGUGUAGCGGUGAAAUGCGUAGAUAUAUGGAAGAACACCAGUGGCGAAGGCGGCUUUCUGGUCUGUUACUGACGCUGAGGCUCGAAAGCAUGGGUAGCGAACAGGAUUAGAUACCCUGGUAGUCCAUGCCGUAAACGAUGAAUACUAGGUGUUGGAGGGUUUCCGCCCUUCAGUGCCGCAGCUAACGCAUUAAGUAUUCCGCCUGGGGAGUACGACCGCAAGGUUGAAACUCAAAGGAAUUGACGGGGGCCCGCACAAGUGGUGGAGCAUGUGGUUUAAUUCGAUGCUACGCGAAGAACCUUACCAGCUCUUGACAUCUUCUGCCAACCCAAGAGAUUGGGCGUUCCCUUCGGGGACAGAAUGACAGGUGGUGCAUGGUUGUCGUCAGCUCGUGUCGUGAGAUGUUGGGUUAAGUCCCGCAACGAGCGCAACCCUUAUUAUUAGUUGCCAGCAUUUAGUUGGGCACUCUAGUGAGACUGCCGGUGAUAAACCGGAGGAAGGUGGGGACGACGUCAAAUCAUCAUGCCCCUUAUGAGCUGGGCUACACACGUGCUACAAUGGAUGGUACAACGAGUCGCGAAACCGCGAGGUCAAGCUAAUCUCUUAAAGCCAUUCUCAGUUCGGAUUGCAGGCUGCAACUCGCCUGCAUGAAGUUGGAAUCACUAGUAAUCGUGGAUCAGCAUGCCACGGUGAAUACGUUCCCGGGCCUUGUACACACCGCCCGUCACACCAUGAGAGUUUGUAACCACCCAAAGAGCGAUGGGGUAACCUUUUAGGAGGCUAGUCGUCUAAGGUGGGACCAGAUGAUUAGGGGAAGU
rnacentral:rRNA from 2 species